rnacentral:lncRNA from 1 species
CUGGAUUGUGAUAAAAAGAAGCGCAUGAAAUGCAUAAAAUAUAUAAUGUCGUGGGUCAGGAAUGUGUUGAAUUAUAGAGAUGCUUAUGCGGCACAAAGAUAAGAUUAAUUUACCCAAAUGUACUAAGAAUUACCACACAACUUAAAUUUACUUAAAUAUUGAUUUGUUAUCCUGUGCCAGACAGAUGGCUGAUAUUCUGAAAAGAGACCUUGAUGAAAUGAAGUUUUAUGGGAACAAAGAUUUUGAAAACACGUCGCAGUGUUUAGAUUUUAACAAAAAUAAGGCACCAAGGUCGAAAAUAGUUCUAGUUCAUAAUGAAGAAAAUGUCAACCGUUUUCUAGCUUGGCGAUCUCUGCACGCACCCGAAUAUAAUAGACAAAUACAAUACAAUAGUACACAAAACGUAACAUAAAGAACUAAAGACCGAGCAACACGAACUCCAACAAAACGGUAUAUAUUUUAUACAAGUAUAGAACUAUAUAUGAAGCGUCGUAACUGUUGCGGCGACGUCAAUAACGUUGUCGUUGUUUUUUUGUUUUUUUUACACUCAAGAUUCAACUUUAACAGGGUAUAGCUUGAAAAGUAGCACGGUUGCUAAGGACUUUCUUUGCACCAAUCGAUUCCUCAGACAUUUUAGAAUCGUCUCAUAAAUUUAAAACAAAAUCGAUUGUCUAAUAUAAUAGAAAAUCUUGGAAAUGUAACAAUUCCUGCCGAAUUUCACGAUUUUCCCUAUAUAUCCUUUGUAAUUUUGGUGUAUGAUGCUGUUAACUUCAACAGCUCGUAUCUCAAAAACGAAAACGGUUACCCCCUUUUUUUAUUUUAUUUUCCGAUUUAUUUUUACAAGCAGAAUCUACAUGUAAAAUUUUUAAAAAAUCCAUUGUGUAGUUUAAUUACGUACACUUCGCCUUAAUGAAACAUUUGAU